GAUGAACGCUGGCGGCGUGCCUAAUACAUGCAAGUCGAACGCUGGAAAUCUAGCUUGCUAGAUUGAAGGAGUGGCGAACGGGUGAGUAAUACAUAAGCAACCUACCCACGAAGACUGGGAUAAUCUCUGGAAACGGGGACUAAUACCGGAUAGGUAAUCGGAAGGCAUCUUCUGAUUAUUAAAGGUUAAAAACACUGGUGGAUGGGCUUAUGGCGCAUUAGUUAGUUGGUGAGGUAACGGCCCACCAAGACGAUGAUGCGUAGCCGGCCUGAGAGGGUGAACGGCCACAUUGGGACUGAGACACGGCCCAGACUCCUACGGGAGGCAGCAGUAGGGAAUUUUCGGCAAUGGGGGAGACCCUGACCGAGCAACGCCGCGUGAGUGAUGACGGCCUUCGGGUUGUAAAGCUCUGUUGUAAGGGAAGAACGGUAGAUAGAGAAUAUCUAAAUGACGGUACCUUACCAGAAAGCCACGGCUAACUACGU
rnacentral:rRNA from 1 species